GUCGAACGGCAGCGCGGGAGCAAUCCUGGCGGCGAGUGGCGAACGGGUGAGUAAUACAUCGGAACGUGUCCUGUAGUGGGGGAUAGCCCGGCGAAAGCCGGAUUAAUACCGCAUACGCUCUACGGAGGAAAGGGGGGGAUCUUAGGACCUCUCGCUACAGGGGCGGCCGAUGGCAGAUUAGCUAGUUGGUGGGGUAAAGGCCUACCAAGGCGACGAUCUGUAGCUGGUCUGAGAGGACGACCAGCCACACUGGGACUGAGACACGGCCCAGACUCCUACGGGAGGCAGCAGUGGGGAAUUUUGGACAAUGGGCGAAAGCCUGAUCCAGCAAUGCCGCGUGUGUGAAGAAGGCCUUCGGGUUGUAAAGCACUUUUGUCCGGAAAGAAAUCCUCUGGGUUAAUACCCCGGGGGGAUGACGGUACCGGAAGAAUAAGCACCGGCUAACUACGUGCCAGCAGCCGCGGUAAUACGUAGGGUGCAAGCGUUAAUCGGAAUUACUGGGCGUAAAGCGUGCGCAGGCGGUUCGCUAAGACAGAUGUGAAAUCCCCGGGCUUAACCUGGGAACUGCAUUUGUGACUGGCGGGCUAGAGUAUGGCAGAGGGGGGUAGAAUUCCACGUGUAGCAGUGAAAUGCGUAGAGAUGUGGAGGAAUACCGAUGGCGAAGGCAGCCCCCUGGGCCAAUACUGACGCUCAUGCACGA
rnacentral:rRNA from 1 species